ACAAUGGAGUUAUUGAUGGCCAUAGCUUGGUAUGGUGGCAUUGGUUGCACUCCCAUGAGCUGAACCAUAGCCGACCCAACCUUCUGGAGUUCUUGUAUUCUGAAGAUAUUGUGAUCUCAAACUUGACGUUCAUAAAUUCACCAGCCUAGAGCAUACAUCUGGUGUACUGCAGUAAUGUAAAGGUCCACAAUGUGACGAUUGAGACCUCGUUGGACGCUCCACUCACUGAUGGCAUAGUUCUAGCCGUGGGGGUUACAUAGAGGACGUGGUCAUCCCGGAGGUACAAAUGGCGAGUGUACAUGUCAGCAUCGAGUUCACCGGCUGUGGGCACAUGAUCCAUAAUAAUCUCCUGCCAGUGUCAUUCAGGUCCCCCUAAGUCAAUGAUUCCAAUAUCUAACCUUGCUAAUGGUCGUUUUCAAAUUAUCUUUAAAUGCUCCCUGCCCAUAGCUCCACAUUUAAUGGCAAAUAAGAGGACAACAACGUAAACUAACUUAGUAUCAACAGAUGCUUGGAAAGUUUUCUGUUGCCAAAUUGGAAACAAGAUAUUGUAGGCCUGGAGCCAUGAACUAAUACCCACUAGGAUGCUGGAUCACUUUUCUUUUUUAUUUUUGGAAAAUAGACGUUGUAUUACUUAGAACAACACUGGCAGUGGAUUGGUAUGAUACAUGUCAAUUCUUCAUUCUACUGCAGGCUUAGCGAGUACCAAAUGUUGUGUAUAGCCCUCUAAUCUAUGAUCUAAACAAGCAGUGAUAUUGGUUGUACAGUGAGUACGGAGUACCAAAUGCUCGUGCGCGCCUAUGAUGUCUAUCGCCAUAUAGCACCUUUUUUGUCUUGACCCACUUUGUUUUAAACUAGCUUUCAGCUUCCAAAGUCGUUGAUGCUCCAUAAAUCAUGAGUGGCCCCAUGAUUUUUGUUACUUCUCCAAGAUAAGAUGUAUCCUACUCAGAUUAGAUGGCAGAUAUGUAUCUCUUCUUUUAGCAUUGCUCUUAUUGUUAAAAGAGAUAUCAAUAGUCUUUGACACACAUGGCUGUUUCAAUUUCUGUCAGCAGAUGGAGUCCUUACCCAUAUAUAUUAGUGUUAAACUGUUGACAUAAAUUUGCAUAUUAUGAUAGAUCAUAUAUACACGGGAAUAGAGGAAUAUGUUUACUCUAGAACUAAGAAAAGUAGGAAGUCACCAUCUAGAAACGACAAGCACAUGAACAAAAUUGUGCUAUCAGAACAUGAUGACCACAAGUAUGGAGAUCUAGAACCAAAACCUUUCGUAUGUGCAGUGUAGGUUUAGAUCCCUUACAAUAGUAUUAUAUACUAUAAACUGGGAACCAUUAUUUUUUGAGGUUAGUAAUUGACCAUCUUCUGUUUUAUGUUUAGCAUCAUGUGGGUUUAGUGGACUUGGACUGUGAGUUGCCACACAUUAACCAAGGUCAAGAACAUUGGCUUUGAUGAAGUUCUUUCUGAAUUAUAUCAUUUGGAUGUUUCAUGCAGGUGAGAUGCAGGUUG